ACACUACGUUUGGUCCUCCACGCGCGCCGUAGAAGCAUGUUGCCGGUUGGAGGGUUUCGCGAAAAAGUUAGCAAAGUGCUUCUGAACGCCACUGGAAUGAAGGGAUUCUCCGGUAUGGGGCAUCAUUUGUGAUUUCUGGAGAUGACUGAAACUUUGAAGACCAGGUUUGAGUUCCCCAGCUCCCUCAUUCAAGCCCAGGCUGUGAGGACGCUGGUCACUGCAGUGCUGAAAGAGAAAGGCCAAAAUGAAAGGAUUUGUCAGACCACAGCUAAAGUAAGUUCUGGUGAUCUUGCAUAUGAAGAUUAUAUCGCAUCAUGGUUAGGACACAU
rnacentral:lncRNA from 1 species